rnacentral:misc_RNA from 1 species
CCGAGUUUACAACCCCCAAACCCCUGUGAACAUACCACUUGUUGCCUCGGCGGAUCAGCCCCUCCCGGUAAAACGGGACGGCCCGCCAGAGGACCCCUAAACUCUGUUUCUAUAUGUAACUUCUGAGUAAAACCAUAAAUAAAUCA